GACGAACGCUGGCGGCGUGCUUAACACAUGCAAGUCGAACGGAAAGGCCCUGCUUUUGUGGGGUGCUCGAGUGGCGAACGGGUGAGUAACACGUGAGUAACCUGCCCUUGACUUUGGGAUAACUUCAGGAAACUGGGGCUAAUAACGGAUAGGAGCUCCUGUUGCAUGGUGGGGGUUGGAAAGUUUCGGCGGUUGGGGAUGGACUCGCGGCUUAUCAGCUUGUUGGUGGGGUAGUGGCUUACCAAGGCUUUGACGGGUAGCCGGCCUGAGAGGGUGACCGGCCACAUUGGGACUGAGAUACGGCCCAGACUCCUACGGGAGGCAGCAGUGGGGAAUAUUGCACAAUGGGCGGAAGCCUGAUGCAGCAACGCCGCGUGCGGGAUGACGGCCUUCGGGUUGUAAACCGCUUUCGCCUGUGACGAAGCGUGAGUGACGGUAAUGGGUAAAGAAGCACCGGCUAACUACGUG
rnacentral:rRNA from 1 species